AGCGGACGCUGGCGGCAGGCUUAACACAUGCAAGUCGAACGCCCCGCAAGGGGAGUGGCAGACGGGUGAGUAACACGUGGGAACGUACCCUUUGGUUCGGAAUAACUUGGGGAAACUCAAGCUAAUACCGGAUAAGCCCUUACGGGGAAAGGUUUACUGCCGAAGGAUCGGCCCGCGUCUGAUUAGCUUGUUGGUGAGGUAACGGCUCACCAAGGCGACGAUCAGUAGAUGGUCUGAGAGGAUGAUCAGCCACACUAGGACUGAGACACGGCCCAGACUCCUACGGGAGGCAGCAGUGGGGAAUAUUGGACAAUGGGGUCAACCCUGAUCCAGCCAUGCCGCGUGAGUGAUGAAGGCCUUAGGGUUGUAAAGCUCUUUUACCCGGGACGAUAAUGACUGUACCGGGAGAAUAAGCCCCGGCUAACUUCGUGCCAGCCGCCGCCGUAA
rnacentral:rRNA from 1 species